rnacentral:rRNA from 1 species
GACGAACGCUGGCGGCGUGCUUAACGCAUGCAAGUCGAACGGAAAGGCCCCCUUGUGGGGUACUCGAGUGGCGAACGGGUGAGUAACACGUGAGUAACCUACCCUUGACUUUGGGAUAACUUCAGGAAACUGGGGCUAAUACCGGAUAGGAGCUCCUGCUGCAUGGUGGGGGUUGGAAAGUUUCGGCGGUUGGGGAUGGACUCGCGGCUUAUCAGCUUGUUGGUGGGGUAGUGGCUCACCAAGGCUUUGACGGGUAGCCGGCCUGAGAGGGUGACCGGCCACAUUGGGACUGAGAUACGGCCCAGUCUCCUACGGGAGGCAGCAGUGGGGAAUAUUGCACAAUGGGCGGAAGCCUGAUGCAGCAACGCCGCGUGCGGGAUGACGGCCUUCGGGUUGUAAACCGCUUUCGCCUGUGACGAAGCGUGAGUGACGGUAAUGGGUAAAGAAGCACCGGCUAACUACGUG